CAAUUACUAGGCUAAUGUCUUAAAACUAUGAGGAAAAGAGGAUACAAAGAUAAUUGAAACCCAAGACGUGUAGUGCAUAGAAUGACAAAAUAUUUGGAUGCAUACUAAAGAAUAAAAAGCUACUGAAAUUGUGGUUUGGGUGAAAUCGGGGAUGGAUCAAGAUUCAGCAAAUUGGUAUAUGAUGGAUUCAUGGAUUUAUGGAUACGUAUCUCACUCUCACUGCCUACAUGUAUUCCCGCCUUGCCGAUGCCGGAUGGCCGCAUGGCAAGCGCGACGACAGCGAUGACCAGCGGCGGCCAAGGCGUCAAGCGCAGGUCGACGAGAGGACAGAGUCACGACUCACGAAACCAAUAGACGAGCGACCAAGCGUGGACCCGAGACGAUGUCUUUGAUUGAUCGAAAUCAGAAGCGGAACAAGUGCCGUGCCUUCCAUCUGGGUGUGUGACGCUUUCCAUGGCUAGCUAGCUAGCUAUUUCUGGGCCGGCCCAUCUCAUUUCUCUUCUUAGGGCCGACAAACCUGCACUUAGUCUUCUUACUCUAAGAGCGGCUACAGACAAUUUCUCCGACCGAAACAUCAUUGGAGAAGGAGGAUUUAGCAUCGUCUACAAGGGGAAGUUACGCAAUGGCACAGAGUACAGACCUUGCCGUUGAUGUUGCUGUAAAGAGGCUGAAACGCACACGUCUUACUGAUAAAGGCAGAGGAGAUUUCUUAAGGGAAGUGGAAGUGAUGUCGACACUCACGCGUGUCAAUCUUGCCGAGCUUCUCUACUAUUGCCAAGACCAGGACGAAGAUGAGUGGAUACUAUAGUCUACGAGUGGAUGGAGAAAAAAAGUUUAAAUCACUACAUACUUGGAGAACAAGACAUGCCCCGCUCUUCACCGAAUUGGGAGCAAAGAUUCGAAAUAAUUCGUGGGGUCGCUGUAGGUGUUGAAUUCCUUCACAGCAUGCGAGUCACUCACAGGGAUCUUAAACCUGGCAAUAUACUUUUGGAUGAUUCGCGAGCAAUGCUACAUUUACGUAAAUGUUUACGUAAGUUUACGGAAUAGUCUGAUUUGACAAUCAUUGAUUGGAUUAAGAGGAGGGUGAGGUCCACUCAUCCUUAAAAAUCAGGGAAGAAC